UACAGAGGUCUCAAGCGUUGUUCGGAUUCAUUGGGCGUAAAGGGUGCGUAGGCGGCGCGGUAAGUCGGGUGUGAAAUCUUGGAGCUUAACUCCGAAACUGCAUUUGAUACUGCGGUGCUUGAGGACUGGAGAGGAGACUGGAAUUUACGGUGUAGCGGUGAAAUGCGUAGAUAUCGUAAGGAAGACCAGUGGCGAAGGCGGGUCUCUGGACAGUUCCUGACGCUGAGGCACGAAGGCCAGGGGAGCAAACGGG
rnacentral:rRNA from 1 species